CUCACUCACUCACUCACUCACUCACUCACUCACUCACUCACUCUCAAUGGCAAACCGAACGAACUCACAGAUGUACCGGAAUACCCUCAUGAAAGUUCCCACUCUGACAAUCCAAUGACACGAAACAACAACACCAAAAGAUAGCAUUUUCUGUAAAUGCUAUCAAUACUCGCACGUCGUGAGUUUGCGUGCGUGCGAAACAACAGUAUUAGUGCAGGUCAAUGGGCAGUGUUGGGCAUAUCCCCAUCACCCGAUUUCACAUCUAUGAGUAUAAAGGUUCUUCUUCUGCCAUUCUCGUUCCUUACAGCAGUCUUUGUUGUGUGUGCCCUGCUUUUGAGAGGGGGAGCGUCAAAAUCAGCUGGUCUUUAACUAAUGGUCUUCUCUUCGAAAAGAUGAGGAAUGUGAAGGAAUGGGUCCCACUGAGCAGAAGCUAGACUGCAGUAAAGGCCAGAGGAGAAACAUGAACGGAAUAUCGACGAACAUCCUAAAGUCAGAUCAGUGGUGCUCCAUCUUGAGUUCUGCGACAUCAUUGUACAUACCUGGGGAACAACUAGCCUAUCUGGCAGAUUCAAAUCUGCACGAUCCACGUUUUCACGAUUUCCUGCUCCGAGUAGGUGGUUAAAAGUAAUCCUGAACACUUGUUUCCAUGUGUUUUUUUUGCCCCUUGCAUUCAGGCGUCUUCUCUUGUAAAUAUGUAGCUAAUAAUAAACCAGACAUGCUUUUGUG